AGUGAACUGUCUUUGUUAUAAAAUUGUUCAAUAUCAUUCCACGAAGCAGCAAGGCCAUCGGACUUAAAGGCGUAUUUCAUCAGGUUGUUUCAACACACUUCAUUAGAUGAGGGGGAUCAAACAUGAGAUGGGCCUCUUUAAGAACAUCUUCCAAAAUUUCAGUUGGGCAUCCUCCAUUGGCAAGCACAUAACCAAGACAUUUGAUGCGCGAUAUAUACUUUGGCUAGCAAUAUUGUGAUACAUCACACAACAUCACACUAUCACACUCGAAUGACGUAAUGUCCGCAGUGUUGCAUUCGUCUUUCUCCCGAAAAUACUCGAUGAAAACUCUCCUCACUGACAAUUUUACCCAUUCCGUUUAUUUUACGUCUUAAUACUCUUUAAUUCGAGCGAAAACAGUUUGCAAAACGCUUGCAAAUAUCGAGCAAGAGUCUGUCAUUAUACCUUUUUAUUUACAAUUUUGCAUGAACAAUUAUAUGAUAUGUCACCUAUAGCAGUGUAGGUAGGUUCUUAGCCAAUUGCAAUCGAGAUUGCAUAAUAUGCAUAAUAAUAGUAUUUCCCAUGACUUCUGACUGGAAAAAGCCAAAGGUCAUUUCUCACUGGAUCACUGGGGAAAGCCGAAAUCAUUUCUGACUAGGAAAAGCUGAAAAUAUGUCGAAGCGCAGGCGUAACAAUUGUCAAUCGGUUGACGAUUUGCGAAAAGAUGUCAACGAGGAACUACAUCAAGAAUAUGUGGGGUCGAGGAUAUUAAGUGAUAUCCAAUCUAUUAAUUUGAAAGUCUGCAAUGAUCUAAAUGUUGAUGUAAUUCUAUUUGUUCUUGUUUUGAAA